ACCAGCAUGGUGUAGUGGUUUAAACAUUGGACUCUGACUCAAGAGACAAGGGUUCGAAUCCCAGCUCAGCCA